rnacentral:sRNA from 1 species
CAGCAUGGAGCGCGAGCUGGAGGCGCUGGCGGCCCGGCUCGCGCGCCCGGCCGAGCCGCCCUUCCAGGCGUUGGUGGAAGCGGCGGGGGGCCGCGGGCAGUGGAAGGAGCCUUGGAGAGGCCAGGCCUCCCCGGACUGCUAGCGUGCUUUUCCUGGGGUCCCUGGAGCCGGAGGAAGAACCAGGAUGUUGCUGCCUGCAGAAGCUCAGCUCAGGAAGACUUCCAGGAACCUGAGGAGGAGCUGGCACUAACAGCCAUAUUUCCCAAUGGAGACUGUGAUGACCUUGGAAGGGGGUCAAAAGCCUGUGAUGGAGUCGUACACACUCCUGCUGAGCCCACCGGAGACUCAAGAUGAAGGCUGGACCCUUGCGCUGUCCCUGGCUCUAACCUACAGACUGGGGCCUGGCUCCGUCUUACCGGCCCCCAGGUCUCCAUGGAGACUGCAGAAACCCCCGCCUGCUGGAGGCCUGCCACACUCACAGUUACCAGCUAGACAGUGGGGCUUACUAAGACAAGCAGGACCUAAAACAGUGUCUCCCCUGGGAACCUACUCCCCACCCAGCAUUUGCUAAGCCUGAUC